rnacentral:rRNA from 1 species
CCUGCAGUCGAGCGAUGAAGUUUCUUCGGAAAUGGAUUAGCGGCGAACGGGUGAGGAACACGUGAAGAAUCUGCCCUCCACUUUGGGAUAACACCGGGAAACCGGUGCUAAUACUGAAUAUUGAAACAUAAGUGGCAUCACUGAGUUUUGAAAGAAUUUCGGUGGAGGAUGACUUCGCGGCCUAUCAGCUAGUUGGUGAGGUAAUGGCUCACCAAGGCAACGACGGGUAGCCGGCCUGAGAGGGCGACCGGCCACACUGGGACUGAGACACGGCCCAGACUCCUACGGGAGGCAGCAGUGGGGAAUAUUGGGCAAUGGAGGAAACUCUGACCCAGCGACGCCGCGUGCGGGAUGAAGGCCUUCGGGUUGUAAACCGCUUUCAGUAGGGAAGAAGCGAAAGUGACGGUACCUACAAAAGAAGCACCGGCUAACUAUGUGCCAGCAGCCGCGGUAAUACAUAGGGUGCAAGCGUUGUCCGGAAUUAUUGGGCGUAAAGAGCUCGUAGGUCGUUUGUUACGUCGGAUGUGAAAACCUGAGGCUCAACCUCAGGCCUGCAUUCGAUACGGGCAAACUANAGUUUGGUAGGGGAGACUGGAAUUCCUGGCGUAGCGGUGGAAUGCGCAGAUAUCAGGAGGAACACCAAUGGC